CAGGGGGCGGGGCUCUUCCCCCUUGGACUCUAUGGCAGAGACUGCAGGCUAGAGCGUCCCACAGGGGGCGGGGCUCUUCCCCUUGGACCCUAUGGCAGAGCCUGCAGGUGAAAGAACGAGAGAUGGAUGUGGAGAGAGAACUUGGGAUGUUUUUGUCCGUCACUUUUAUAGUUCAGUCACCCUUUGAAAUGCAUUUUCCUGAGGGUUGUGCCUAGUUAAAGUUCAUUCCUGCUGUGUGGAUGGAGUCGAGCAGUCUGGUGGUGGAAGAGGGUCCAUGCUGUUGUUUGCUAAGAUGCCGAUCUGUUUGUUCCUGCCCUUGCUCCUUGCCAAAGAAUGGCUCCUUGACAGGUGAUCGCCCAUACAUUUUGAUGCCCACUUGGCUAGAUGCAUCAGCUUGUCCUUUGUCUUUAAGAAACAUGUUCACUCCCUCCCCAGAAUUGUCUAGCAAACACUUCAGCCAUGAUUUCAACUUAAGUCCAUAACUGUAUUACACACUUUUCAUCAUAUUAUUGACCAGUGAGUUAUUAGUUUUCAGAUGAUACCUCAUAAGGCAUAUUCUGUACAAAGAUUGUUACAAUCGGGCAUAGGGUGUGAACAGAGGGGUGCAUUCCGUCACAAAUACCUAGAACGGAUGCAAUGACGCAGAUCAAGCAGUUGGGCCUGGCAUUAAGGUUUGUGCCCGCCCUUCAUUUUGGGCACACUUCUUGCUGUACAAAUUAUGUAAACACUUCUUUUCCUUGCCUCCCUUCACACAAAUAAAUGUGUCCAUUUAUCAAA